ensembl:lncRNA
UGAAAAAAGUGACAUUUUAUGUCUAGAAAGUCACUUUUCAUCAAAAGUACAAUAACAAAACUUGUUCCCAUUCAUUCAGUGUGUCCAGACACACUUGUGCACUUUAUACGCUCAAAAGGCUAUACAGCGCUUCAGAAUACGCUAGGAGCAAAGGAAAGUGGUUUUUCUAACAAACUCAUAUAAUCAAUUGCCCGACGGACUCCAAUAUGAUAUUUUUCACAUAGUUAGACACAAUACAGUUCUAUGAAAUGUUUCUGACCUAAAAUAAGACGAGAUAUGAUUGUUUACGUUAAAAUAUAAAACUUGAUGAUAAAGUAUGAUAGGUGAAAAAAGUGUCAUUUGAAGUGUAGAAAGUCACUUUUGAUCAAAAGUACCGUAACAAAACUUGUUCCCAUUCAUCCUGUGUGUCCAGACACUCUGGUGCUCUUUAUAAGCUGAAAACGCUAUACAGCACUUGAGAAGACGCUAGGAGCAAAGGAAAGUGGUUUAUCUAACAAACUCAUAUAAUCAAUUGCCCGACGGACUCCAAUGAGAUAUUUUUCACAUAGUUAGACAUAAUACAGUACUAUGAAAUGUUUCGGACCUAAAAUAAGACUAAAUAUGAUUUUUUACAUUAAAAUGUAAAACUCAAUGAAAAGGUGAUAAAAGUGUCAUUUGAAGUGUAGAAAGUCACUUUUCAUCAAACGUACCAUAACAAAACUUGUUCCCAUUCAUCCUCUGUGUCCAUACACACUGGUGCUCUUUAUACGCUCAAAACGCUAUACAGCGCUUGAGAAGUCGCUAGGCGCAAAGGAAAGUGUUUUUCUAACAAACUCAUAUAAUUAAUUGCCCUCUGGACUCCAAUAUGAUAUUUUUCACAUAGUUAGACAUAAUAUAGUACUAUGAAAUGUUUCUGACCUAAAAUAAUACGAAAUAUAAUUGUUUACAUUAAAAUGUAAAAAUUGAUGAUAAAGUAUGAUAAGGUGAAAAACGUGUCAUUUGAAGUGUAGAAAGUCACUUUUCAUCAAAAGUACCAUAACAAAACUUGUUCUCAUUCAUCCUGUGUGUCCAUACACACCGGUGCUCUUUAUACGCUCAAAACGCUAUACAGCGCUUGAGAAGGCGCUAGGAGCAUAGGAAAGUGGUUUAUCUAACAAACUCAUAUAAUCAAUUGCCCGACGGACUCCAAUAGGAUAUUUUUCACAUAGUUAGACAUAAUACAGUACUAUGAAAUGUUUCUGACCUAAAAUAAGACGAAAUAUGAUUGUUUACAUGAAAUUGUAAAACUUGAUGAUAACGUAGGAUAAGGUGAAAAAAGUGUCAUUUGAAGUAUAGAAAGUCACUUUACAUCAAAAGUACCAUAAUAAAACUUGUUCUCAUUCAUCCUGUGUGUCCAUACACACUGGUGCUCUUUAUACUCUCAAAACGGUAUACAGCGCUUGAGAAGGCGCUAGGAGCAAAGGAAAGUGGUUUAUCUAACAAACUCAUAUAAUCAAUUGCCCGACGGACUCCAAUAUGAUAUUUUUCACAUAGUUAGACAUAAUACAGUACUAUGAAAUGUUUCUGACCUAAAAUAAGACGAAAUAUGAUUGUUUACAUUAAAAUGUAAAACGAUGAUAAUGUAUGAUAAGGUGAAUAAAGUGCAAUUUGAAGUGUAGAAAGUCACUUUUCAUCAAAAGUACAAUAACAAAACUUGUUCCCAUUCAUCCUGUGUGUCCAGACACACUGGUGCUUUUUUUUACGCUCCAAAUAGUAUACAACGCUUGAGAAGGCGCUAGGAGCAAAGGAAAGUGGUUUUUCUAACAAACUCAUAUAAUCAAUUGCCCGACGGACUCCAAUAGGAUAUUUUUCACAUAGUUAGACAUAAUACAGUACUAUGAAAUGUUUCUGACCUAAAAUAAGACGAAAUAUGAUUGUUUACAUGAAAUUGUAAAACUUGAUGAUAACGUAGGAUAAGGUGAAAAAAGUGUCAUUUGAAGUAUAGAAAGUCACUUUACAUCAAAAGUACCAUAAUAAAACUUGUUCUCAUUCAUCCUGUGUGUCCAUACACACUGGUGCUCUUUAUACUCUCAAAACGGUAUACAGCGCUUGAGAAGGCGCUAGGAGCAAAGGAAAGUGGUUUAUCUAACAAACUCAUAUAAUCAAUUGCCCGACGGACUCCAAUAUGAUAUUUUUCACAUAGUUAGACAUAAUACAGUACUAUGAAAUGUUUCUGACCUAAAAUAAGACGAAAUAUGAUUGUUUACAUUAAAAUGUAAAACGAUGAUAAUGUAUGAUAAGGUGAAUAAAGUGCAAUUUGAAGUGUAGAAAGUCACUUUUCAUCAAAAGUACAAUAACAAAACUUGUUCCCAUUCAUCCUGUGUGUCCAGACACACUGGUGCUUUUUUUUACGCUCCAAAUAGUAUACAACGCUUGAGAAGGCGCUAGGAGCAAAGGAAAGUGGUUUUUCUAACAAAUUCAUAUAAUCAAUUGCCCGACCUACUCCAAUAUGAUAUUUUUCACAUAUUUACACAUAAUAUAGUACUAUGAAAUGUUUCUGACCUAAAAUAUUACGAAAUAUGAUUGUUUACAUUAAAAUGUAAAAGUUGAUGAUAAAGUGUGCUAAGGUGAAAAAAGUGACAGUUUAUGUCUAGAAAGUCACUUUUCAUCAAAAGUACAAUAACAAAACUACUUCCCAUUCAUCCUGUGUGUCCAGACACUCUGGUGAUCUGUAUACGCUCAAAACGCUAUACAGCGAUUGAGAAGGCGCUAGGAGCAAAGGAAAGUGGUUUUUCUAACAAACUCAUGUAAUCAAUUGCCCGACCUACUCCAAUAUGAUAUUUUUCACAUAUUUACACAUAAUAUGGUACUAUGAAAUGUUUCUGACCUAAAAUAUUACGAAAUUUGAUUGUUUACCUUAAAAUGUAAAAGUUGAUGAUAAAGUGUGCUAAGGUGAAAAAAGUGACAUUUUAUGUCUAGAAAGUCACUUUUUAUCAAAUGUGCCCUAACAAAACUUGUUCACAUUCGUCCUGUGUUUCCAUACACUUUGGUGCUCAUCAGACGCUGAAAACCUUAAACAGCGAUUUUCAAGCAUCUGAGAGCGAAGGAAAGUGUUUUUUCUAACAAACGCAUAUAAUUAAUUGCAUGACGUCCUCCAAUAUGAUAUUUUCCGAUAUUUAUGACAUACUAUAGUACUAUGACAUGUUUCUGACCUAAAAUGAUAAAAAAAUAUGAUUGAUUACCUUAAUAUUUAUAAGUUGAUAAUAAAGUAUAAUAAGGGGGGAAAAAACAGACAAUUGAAGUGUAGAAAGUCACUUUUCAUCAAAUGUGCCUUAACAAAACUUGUUCACAUUCGUCCUGUGUGUCCAUACAGACUGGUGCUCUUCAGACUUUGAAAACCCUAUACAGCGUAUAGCGCUAAUAUACAGCACUAAUAUAGUCUAUUAUAGUAUAUUAUAAACAUGCCAAACUAUCAUAUUAAGUCAUAAACAAGUCAACCAUCUCAUAUUAAGUCAAUAACAUGUGAAAUAUGUCAUAGUAUCAUAUUAAAGCAUGAACAAGUAACAUAUAUAAUUUUAAGUCAUAAGCAAGUGAAACAUCUCAUAUUGAGUCAUAAACAUGUGAAACACAUCAUAGUAUCAUAUUAAGUUAUAAACAUGUCAAAGAAUCAUAUUUAGUCAUAAACAAGUCAAACAUCUCAUAUUGAGUCAUAAACAUGUGAAAUACAUCAUAGUAUCAUAUUAAGCCACAAACAAGUCAAACAUCUCGUAUUGAGUCAUAAACAUGUCAACACAUCAUAGUAUCAAAUUAAGUUAUAAACAUGUCAAAGAAUCAUAUUAAAUGAUAAACUAAGUCAACCAUCUCAUAUUAAGUCAGUAACAUGUGAAAUAUGUCAUAGUAUCAUAUUAAAGCAUAAACAAGUGAAACUUAUCAUAUUGAGUCAUAAACAAGUGAAACAUCUCAUAUUGAGCCAUAAACAUGUGAAACACAUCAUAGUAUCAUAAUAAGUUAUAAACAUGUCAAAGAAUCAUAUUAAGUCAUAAACCAGUGAACCAUCUCAUAUUGAGUCAUAAACAUGUGAAACACAUCAUUUUAUCAUACCAAGUAAUAAACAUUUUAAGUCAUAAACAAGUGAAACAUAUCAUAUUGUGUCAUAAAAAUGUGAAAUACAUCAUAGUAUCAUAUUAAAGCAUAAACAAGUGAAACAUCUCAUAUUGAGUCAUAAUCAAGUGAAACACAUCAUAUUGAGUCAUAAUCAUGUGAAACGUCUCAUAUUAAGUGAUAAUCUAAGUCAACAAUCUCAUAUUAAGUCAAUAACGUGAAAUAUGUCAUAGUAUCAUAUUAAAGCAUAAACAAGUAAAACGUAUCAUAUUGAGUCAUAAACAAGUGAAACAUCUCAUAGUAUCAUAUUAAGUUAUAAACAUGUCAAAGAAUCAUAUUUAGUCAUAAACCAGUGAACCAUAUCAUAUUGAGUCAUAAACAAGUCAAAAAUCUCAUAUUGAGUCAUAAACAUGCGAAACACAUAAUUUUAUCAUAUUAAGCAAUAAACAUUUUAAGUCAUAAACAAGUGAAAUAUAUCAUAUUGUGUCAUAAAAAUGUGAAACAGGUCAUAGAAUCAUAUUAAAUCGUUAUCAAGUGAAACAUAUCAUAUUAAGUCAUAAUCAUGUGAAACGUCUCAUAUUAAGUCAUAAACAAUUCAACCAUCUCAUAUUAAGUCAAUAACAUGUGAAAUAUGUCUUAGUAUCAUAUUAAGAUAAAAUCAUGUCAGAGAUUCAUAUUAAGACAUAAACAAUUGAAACAUCUCAUAUUGAGUCAUAAACAUGUGAAACACAUCAAAGUAUCAUAUUAAGUUAUAAACAUGUCAAAGGAUCAUAUUAAGGCAUAAACAUGUGAACCAUCUCAUAUUGAGUCAUAAACAAGUGAAACAUCUCAUAGUGAGUCAUAAACAUGUGAAACACAUCAUAGUAUCAAAUUGAGUUAUAAACAAGUGAAACAGAGCAUUUUGAGACGUAAACAAGUGAAACAUCUCAAAUUGAGUCAAAACCGUCUGAAACAUGUCAUCGUAUCACAUUAAGUCAUAAACAAGUGAAACAGAACAUAUUGAGACUUAAACAUGUCAUAGUAUUAUAAGUCAUAAACAAGUGAAACAGAUCAUAUUGAGUCAUAAACAUGUCAUAGUAUUAUAAGUCAUAAACAAGUGAAACAGAUCAUAUUGCGUCGUAAACGUCAUAGUAUAUCAUAUUAAGUCAUAAACAAGUCAAACAAAUCAUAUUGAGUCAUAAAUAAGUCAUAAUAUUAUAAGUCAUAAACAAGUGAAACAGAUCAUAUUAAGUCAUAAACAGGUGAAACAGAUCAUACUGAGUCAUACAUAUUUCAUAGAAUCAAAUAGUCAUAAACAAGUGAAACAGAUCAUAUUGAGUCAUAAAAAUGUCAAAGUAUCAUAUUAAGUCAUACAAAUGUGAAACGUCUCAUAUUGAGUCAGAAAAGUGAAACAUGUCAUAGUAACACAUUAAGUCAUAAACAAAUGAAACAGAUCAUAAACACGUGACAAAUAUCAUAAACAUGUGAAACAUGUCAUAUUGAGUCAUAAACAUGUGAAACAUUUUAAGUCAUAAACAUCAUAAACAUAACUAUCAUAUUGUCAUAAA